rnacentral:rRNA from 1 species
CGGCGGCCUAACACAUGCAAGUCGAGCGAGAAAUCACUUCGUGUGAGAGUACAGCGGCGGACGGGUGAGUAACGCGUANGAAUCUACCCGGUAGUGGGGGACAACAUGGAUGAAAACCAUGCUAAUACCGCAUACGCCCUAUGGGGGAAAGCGGGGGACCUUCGGGCCUCGCGCUAUCGGAUGAGCCUGCGUAAGAUUAGCUAGUUGGUGGGGUAAAAGCCUACCAAGGCGACGAUCUUUAGCUGGUCUGAGAGGAUGACCAGCCACACUGGGACUGAGACACGGCCCACACUCCUACGGGAGGCAGCAGUGGGGAAUAUUGCGCAAUGGGCGAAAGCCUGACGCAGCCAUGCCGCGUGUGUGAAGAAGGCCCUAGGGUUGUAAAGCACUUUCAAUUGGGAAGAAAAGCUUGUCGUUAAUAGCGGCGAGCCCUGACAUUACCUUUAGAAGAAGCACCGGCUAACUCCGUGCCAGCAGCCGCGGUAAUACGGAG